rnacentral:tRNA from 1 species
UCCCUGGAAGUCCAGUGGUUAGGACUUUGCAGUCUUACUGCCAAGGUCCUGAGUUCAAUCCCCAGUUGGGGAA